UAGUCCACGCCGUAAACGAUGGUCACUAGUUGUUGGGGUCUUGUACCUCAGUGAUUAAGAGAAAUUGAUAAGUGACCCACCUGGGGAGUACGAUCGCAAGAUUGAAACUCAAAGGAAUUGACGGGGGCCCGCACAAGCGGUGGAACAUGUGGUUUAAUUCGAUGAUACGCGAGGAACCUUACCAGGGCUUAAAUGUAAGUUGCAUGAUUUAGAGAUAGAUCUUUCUUCGGACUACUUACAAGGUGCUGCAUGGUUAUCGUCAGCUCGUGCCGUGAGGUGUCAGGUUAAGUCCUAUAACGAGCGCAACCCCUGUUGUUAGUUGCCAGCGAGUCAAGUCGGGAACUCUAACAAGACUGUCAGUGCAAACUGUGAGGAAGGUGGGGAUGACGUCAAAUCAUCACGGCCCUUACGUCCUGGGCUACACACGUGCUACAAUGGUAGGUACAGAGAGCAGCCACAACGCGAGUUGGAGCGAAUCUAUAAAACCUAUCACAGUUCGGAUCGG
rnacentral:rRNA from 1 species